AAUAGAUACCCUGGUAGUCCAUACCGUAAACGAUGAAUGCUAAGUGUUGGAGGGUUUCCGCCCUUCAGUGCUGCAGCUAACGCAUUAAGCAUUCCGCCUGGGGAGUACGGCCGCAAGGCUGAAACUCAAAGGAAUUGACGGGGGCCCGCACAAGCGGUGGAGCAUGUGGUUUAAUUCGAAGCUACGCGAAGAACCUUACCAGGUCUUGACAUACUAUGCAAAUCUAAGAGAUUAGACGUUCCCUUCGGGGACAUGGAUACAGGUGGUGCAUGGUUGUCGUCAGCUCGUGUCGUGAGAUGUUGGGUUAAGUCCCGCAACGAGCGCAACCCUUAUUAUCAGUUGCCAGCAUUAAGUUGGGCACUCUGGUGAGACUGCCGGUGACAAACCGGAGGAAGGUGGGGAUGACGUCAAAUCAUCAUGCCCCUUAUGACCUGGGCUACACACGUGCUACAAUGGAUGGUACAACGAGUUGCGAACUCGCGAGAGUAAGCUAAUCUCUUAAAGCCAUUCUCAGUUCGGAUUG
rnacentral:rRNA from 1 species